AAUCUAGUGCAGUGCUUAUAUUCUUGGGCUCUGGAGUUAAAUAGAAGGCCUGGGUUGAACCCCUACUCUGCCACUUGGGAGCUGUGUAGCUUCAGGCAAACUGAAAAAAAGUCUCAUUGCUCUCCUCUGUGAAACGGGGACAGGAAUUGACCUCAGAGAGCUGCUAUAAGAAUGAAUAAGAUACACAUAUUAUGCUAUUAUCCUAGCCCUCUACCUUACACAUCAUAUUUGGUCAUUUAAUAUUAGCUGUUAGUACCAUGGUAAUAGUUUAGGAUUUGGUAAGCAGAACUCCAUCACGCAAUGAGUCACUGUAACAUCAAUGCCGAUAGACCAAGGAUAAAUCAUAUUUAUCAACGUGGUUGAAUCUAGAAUAACACAGGUCUGAAAUGCAAUCAGCUUAUGAAGUAUAUAUGAAUUACGCUUUCUAUUCUAGUGUUAUAAGUUGAACCACUGUAUCUAAUAUCAUCAGAAUUUACCCUAAAAGAAAGGACUAUUGUAAUUGUAAAUGAUAGCAGAGGAGAAUAAAGGCCACCAUCAUGGAAAUAAAUGUCAGUAGAAACCC
rnacentral:antisense_RNA from 1 species